CUUUGACAUUAUCUCAUCAAGAGGUGGUGUCAAUGUCCUUCUUUCCCAGAAUCUGGGUGGGCUCAGAGACUGCUUUGACCAAUAAAGCAUAGUGGAAGUAAAACUGUGCCAGUGUCUCGGGCUCAGGCUGAAAGAGACUGGCAGCUUUCACUUCCUGUCUUUUGAAAGUCUCUUGAACUUCGGACCUGGGGGAAGCCAGCUGCCGAGUGAGAAGUCUGACUAUCCGGAGAUGGCGGUGAGUAUAGAGAAUUUCUGCUAGGUCUCCUGUGUUUCAGCCAUCCCAGCCCAGGCACCACGACACAUUAUCAAAGGACUAUCUUGGACCUUCUCAUCCCAGCAAACAUCCAAUGGAGAAGAAUGAAGACUCCAGGCAUAUGAUCCCACUCUAGCCAUCCCAGGAGCCCCCAGCUAUCCAAACAACUACAGCUGUGGCCAAAAACAUCGUGUAUCAGGGACAAACUCUCUGCUUAUGGCUGCUCUAAUCCUUGACCUACAGAAUCAUGAAAUUUGUGGAUACGGUCAUGAUCUUGAUUUUGGCGAUGGUUUCACAGUAACUCAUGCUUUCAAAAUAUCAGGAAGCAAAUGAGAAAAGGAAAAAAAGACAUUCAUUGUAUAUGCUGUGAAGUAAUCCUGCCAAAGGACACUUUGGGCUCCGCAUGUACUGCUUCACCAAGUGCCAACAUAUACGUCUCCAGUGACUGCUGAUGGCUGAGUCUCCUUAUGUUAGUAAAUUUCUAAACAUUUUUCUUAGUACAUGGAGUAACGUGUUAUGUUGAUCAAUGUUUGAUGACACUUAAAUGUAACUACAAUGCAGUAAUUCGAAGGUAAGAAAAAGUUGCCAUGACUCUCAUUUCUUUGAAAUUGUGUACAAUGAAAGGCUUCUCAGCAUGAUACCCCAACUAAAAUUUAGGCGUAUGACAGCACUUAUAAGUAAAUCCAUUUUAUUUGAGUAAAUAUUGAGUUUCAUUUACCUUUUAGCAAAUUCCGAAGUAGCAUCUCCAUAAAUUUAAACUGAUUUUACUUAUUGAGUCCUAUUACUAACUUUAAAAGACAAUCUACUUUGGAUCAUUUUGAGCAUCACAUAUUGCUUACGUAAAAUAAGUUUAAAUCUGAGUCAAUAAUGAUACUAAGCAAACAAAUAAAAUCAUUGGUCACUGUAUUAAGUCUGUUUUCAUGCUGUUGAUAAAGACAUACCCAUGACUGGGCAAUUUACAAAAGAAAUGUUUAAUUGGACUUACAGUUCCACGUGUGGCUGGGGAAGCCUCACAAUCAUGGUGGAAGGCGAAAGGCACAUCUCACAUGAUAGCAGACAAGGGAAAAGAGCUUGUGCUGGGGAACUCCUUUUUUAAAACCAUCAGAUCUCGUGACACUUAUCUACUAUCAGCACGGGAAAGACCUUCCCCCAUGAUUCAAUUACCUUCCACCAGUCCCUCACAUAAUAUAUGAGAAUUCAAGAUGAGAUUUGGGUGGGGACACAGCAAAACCAUAUCAGUCACCUUUGGAGAAUACUAGAGAAUUAACUAACUAUUCUGAAAAUCAGUAAUUAAAGGGAAAGAAGCAAACAUUUUUUCUGUCUUUCCAUAAAAAAUUGUACUUUGAACAACCAAAUGGGUGAUAAUGAAAGAAAGUUCCUCUUUAUAAAAGUAACUGAAGAGGCCAGGCGUGGUGGCUCAUGCCUGUAAUCCCAGCACUUUGGGAGGCCGUGAUGGGCAGAUCACUUGAGCCCAGAAGUUUGAGACCAGCCUGUGCAACAUAUCUAGACCCUGUCUUUAAAAAGAAAGAAAAAAUUUAAAACAGUAACUGAGCAUCAGCUAUUGUGGGCACACUGCCUAUGGGUAGCCCUGCUCCACAAGGAGCAGUUAAAAAAAAAAGUAACUCAGUAGAUAAAUGAGAAAGGAAUGAUAAUUACAAUAACAAGAUGUGGCAAUCCUGAUUUAAUUAAUGAAUCUAAGCAAAAAGCAAUGGCUUUGAAUAGAACACAGAAAAGAAACAACUAAAUAUUAUGUGCCUCCUGGUUGAAAUAUACACAAUUAUCUAUGAUUUCAUCUUUUGAACCUGAAUCUGAUCAAGCCUCUAGAUCUAUUCAUCAAUUUAUAUAAAACACAAGAGACACAGAAAAGACAAAGGAAUGUACUAAACUACAGCAUGAGGUACAAUCAAGCAAAAUUCAUACCAUGGAAACUAUAGAACAAACAAUUUAGUUUCUUGCAGAAAUAAAUUGCAAGGGAAAAAUAAAGACAUGGUUAAAGACACUUCGGAGAUAUGCUUACCAGAUGCAAUUUAUGGAUGUGUAUUAGCGUUCUCCAGAGAAACAGAACCAAGAGGAUAUAUAUGGGUAUAUAAGAGGGAAUUUGUUAUGGAAGCCAGCUCACAUGAUUAUGGAGGGUGAGAAGUUCCACAACAUCCCAUCUGCAAGCUGUACAACCAAGGAAGCCAAUGUUGUAAUUCAGUCUGAGUCCGAAGGCCAGAGAAACUGGGGCCAUUGGUGUAAUCUUGGAGUCUGAAAGCUCAAUGAAGUCAGGAGAAGAUGGAUGUCCCAGCCCCAAGAGGGAGAGAAUUUGCCCUUCUCUUUUUAUUCUAUUGGAACCCUUAACAGAUUGGAUGAUGCCUGUCCAUAUUGAUGAGGGUGGUUCUUCUGUACUCAGUUUACUGCUUCAAAUGCUAGUCUCUUCUGAAAAUUCUCUCACAGACCCACCCAGAAAUGUUUUACCAGCUAUCUGGCUAUCCCUUAACCCAGUCAAGUUGACACAUAAAAUUAACCAUCACAGAAUGUUAUUUGGAUUCAGAUUUUAAUCAACAAAGUGUGAAAAAGUAAUAAGAUUAUUGGAGAAA
rnacentral:lncRNA from 1 species